GCCUAGAGAGAAGCUUGCGGCUGAUUAGCUUGUUGGUGAGGUAAUGGCUCACCAAGGCGACGAUCAGUAUCUGGUUUGAGAGGAUGAUCAGACACACUGGAACUGAGACACGGUCCAGACUCCUACGGGAGGCAGCAGUGGGGAAUUUUCCGCAAUGGGCGAAAGCCUGACGGAGCAAUCUCGCGUGAGGGAUGACGGCCUAUGGGUUGUAAACCUCUUUUUUCAGGGAGGAACAAAAUGACGUGUACCUGAAGAAUAAGCAUCGGCUAACUCCGUGCCAGCAGCCGCGGUAAGACGGAGGAUGCAAGUGUUAUCCGGAAUCACUGGGCGUAAAGCGUCUGUAGGUGGUUUGAUAAGUCAACUGUUAAAUCUUGAAGCUCAACUUCAAAAUCGCAGUCGAAACUAUUAGACUAGAGUAUAGUAGGGGUAAAGGGAAUUUCCAGUGGAGCGGUGAAAUGCGUAGAUAUUG
rnacentral:rRNA from 1 species